GAGAGAGAGAGAAAGAGAAGACUCGUCGCGGUCUGUAUUUGCUCCCCCAUUCACUUACCCACGUAUAUAUCUCCUUCUCUGUCCCUCUUUAUGUUUUGCAUUAACAAGCCUACUCCCUCUCUUCGUCGUAUAUAUAUAACAAAUCCAGAAGAUCGAAGGACACGAUGAAGAGUUUGUUUUAUAUUUACCAUCGAUUUUAAAUAUAAUCAAAUAUUUAUUGAGCUGUUGAAGCGGAAAUUUAUUUUUAUUUACUUGAAGGAGUUUUUUCUUAGAGCUGGAAACGACAUCAAAUUUUAUGUUUUUUCUUUCUUUCUAAAAGUUCGAAAUAUUUUUGAUGAUGCAAUUAUACUGUUACUGUGCCUAGGAAAUAUAAGCGAUAGUUGAAACUGUUUUAAACAGAUCCUUAAACCGUAAAAUUAGGAUUUUUAGGUAAUAAAUUGCAACAUAUUAUAAUGAGAAUAUUUGCUAAUCUUUCUUUUCCUUUGCAAUUUGCAAAGAAAAAAAAACAUACAUAAAUUUUGCGAAUUAUUUUUUCGUUAUUACGAAACGAAACAUCUAAAUGUGCAGAAAAAAAAACAUUUAUAAAUUUUCUUAUAUAUAACUUACGUAUUCAAUCAUUUUACGACAAAAAAAUAGAUAACAUCGAUGAACUUCACACUUACAAGUCUCGUUUCUUCGAAGUUGAAGAAGUUAGAUAUUUGUCAAUUAUUAUGUUAUGAAAGUGUUUAUUUUACUUGUUAAAAGCAUAUGACCUUGUGUGCGACAUAGUAACAACGCGUAAUAUUGAACGAGAGAAUAGAACUUCCGCGUUAAUAGAAUGAAAGGAAACGUAAACAUUUUAUCUUUAAUUGUAUGUCAAUGAUCGAUCAUUUUUCCGAAUAGAAAAAAAAUUAUUGAACAGUGCGCGCGCGUUAAUAUUAGAAGAUAUUUUAUGAUAAUGAUAGAAUAAAUUAUAUUAGAACCUUGCUUGAAUUAGAAGAAUAAUUUAGCGUUACAAUCCAAUCAACGUAUUCGAUAUUAGUUUUUAAUUAUGUUUAGAAUUAAAAACGAAUUAGAAUUUUCUGAAACAAAUAUAAUACGUUUGUGAAAACACACACACACACACACACGCAUAUAUAUAUAUAUAUAUAUAUAUAUAUAUAUAUAGAGAGAGAGAGAGAGAGAGAGAGAGAGAGAGAGAGAGAGAGAGGAAGAGAUAGAGAAAGAGAGAGAGAGAGAGAGAGAGAGAAAAGAAGAACGCUUAUUGGUUCUUAUCGAUUUCGAUUAGUGUUGCUGGUAAUAUCGUAAUCGAUGUCACAAUAAUACAGUGUAUCGUUAUCUCCCACAUUGGUUCGCAUAAUAGCACGAUAACUAUGCAUAAAUGCAUUUGUACUUUACGUAAAAGCUUUUUGUAAAUAUAUAACCAAAGAAUGUGCUUUAGUUGACGUAAAUAGGAGGAAUUCAGCGAGUAUAACAAUGGUAUAUUUUACAAAGAAAUCAGAGCAAUUUAGAAAUAUGAUGUCAUCGAAAUAGAAAUUGGUCUUCGGCCUUGUCCUUGUGUCUUUUUUAAAAGACAAAUUUGAUUGUUUGAAAUUGUUAUUUUUCUUACGAUUUCUUCUAAAAAAGAAAAAAAAAGGAAAAAGACUAUAUAAUUAUAAUAAAUUGGUUAUUAUUCAUGUUAGCAAUAUAUUUUCAAUUAAGCGGUUUUUUUUCACAUGAUUUCGUAAAAUGUAAGUAACAAUGAGGAGACAUUCUUGGACAAAUAAAUUUAUGAUCCUCCGAGGA